ACACUGCUGAGGAGUUUCACAAUAGAACGAAAUGGACAUCCAGUGU
rnacentral:hammerhead_ribozyme from 1 species